rnacentral:lncRNA from 1 species
UCUCUCCUCCUUCCAUUUUUGUGCAUGGAGAAUUCUUGCCACUGUAGCCACAUACAUAAAUACCGUUGAGGCUUUCUGUGGGAUUUCGCUGUUUUAGAACACUUCUGACAGAUUGAGGAAGCACCGUAAUUCAGUAGCAGAGCAUCUGCUUUGAAUGUGGAAGGUCCCAGAUUCAGUUACUGGCAUCUCCAGAGAGGACUGAGAAACACCUCCGUGGGAAACCCUAGUGAGCUGCUGCCAGUCAGUGAACACAGUACUAAGCUAGAUGAGUCAGUGGUCUAUAUAAGCCAAGGGUCGGCAAGGUUUACCUCACCUGGGCCGGAUCACUCCAGCGGAGAUCUCUCCGUGGGCUGGAUUAUGCGCAUGUCUGCGAUUUCUGGCGUCUUCACAGACGCAAUUUCCAGCACCGCGAAAGCGAGUCUCCGUGCCGCACUGCGCCGGUUUAGCACAGCACGUGGGGACUCGCCAAGUGGGCGGCUCGGUUCAGGGGUGGCUUGUGGGCUAGUUAAAUAACCCCCGUGGGCUGCUUGUGGUCCAUGGGCCUUAGGUUGCCUUGUUGUUGUUGUUUAGUCGUUUAGUCGUGUCCGACUCUUCGUGACCCCAUGGACCAGAGCAUGCCAGGCACUCCUGUCUUCCACUGCCUCCCACAGUUUAGUCAAACUCAUGCUGGUAGCUUUGAGAACACUAUCCAACCAUCUCGUCCUCUGUCGUCCCCUUCUCCUUGUGCCCUCCAUCUUUCCCAACAUCAGGGUCUUUUCCAGGGAGUCUUCUCUUCUCAUGAGGUGGCCAAAGUAUUGGAGUCUCAGCUUCAGGAUCUGUCCUUCCAGUGAGCACUCAGGGCUGAUUUUCUUAAGAAUGGAUAGGUUUGAUCUACUUGCAGUCCAUGGCACUCUCAAGAGUCUCCUCCAGCACCAUAAUUCAAAAGCAUCAAUUCUUCGGCGAUCAGCCUUCUUUAUGGUCCAGCUCUCACUUCCAUACAUCACUACUGGGAAAACCAUAGCCUACCCCUAAUAUAAGCAGCUUCCUAUGUCCCCAUGAAUUCCCACGAGAAGUGGCUACUUCACAGCUGUAGGGUAUAUUUCCCUAUGGGAAGCCAUUCUAUUCCUCCCACACACCUUUUGUAUCCCAUCCCCAUUCAUUAAAGAUGCCCCAUUAAUCAUGGUGGAUCUACAUAAAGGCAACAGACACCACAAGGUUUCAUUUCAGAAUAAAUCUUGCUAAUCAAUACUCUACUCCUUAGAUUACACCACUCAAUAUCUCUCUGUGCCAGAGGACAUUAACUUACAUAUUUACCUACUCUGCCGUUCGUUAUAGGUCAUGUACGUGACAAUGAAACUGAUGGUUUUUAUUUGCUCGUACAUGGGUUUUCACCAGUGCAAAGAACAUUCAGGAGGUUUGGGAAAGGGCAACUGAAAUAAUCAGAGGAUGGAGUGACUCCUGGAUGAGGAAAGGUUGCAGCAUUUGGGAUUUUUUUAAUUCAGAGAAAAGGCGAGGAAGAGAAGACAUGAUAGAAGAUUAUAAAAUUAUGUCUGGCAUGGAGAAAGUGGAUAGAGAAAGGUUUUCCUCCCUCCCUCAUAAGACUGGAAUUCAUGAGCAUCCAAUGAAGCUGAAUGUUGAAAGAUUCAGGACAGAUAACAGAAAGCAUUUCUUCACACAGUGCAUAGUUAAACUACAGAAUUUUACUGCAAAAUAAAGGGGAAGGAGAUCCCCAAAGCCCAUGAAGAUUGGACAUAGACAGUGACUGCAGAAUGCUGACUGAUUAUUGGAGGAAAACAUUGAAAACCCAUGGAUAAUAUAGUGGAAUGUCUGGAACAGCAGCACUCCACAAUGGCCACAUCCUUUUGCAGGACUUGCUUGUUCAACCUAAUACCAAUUGACAUGCUGUUGCACUCAAUGCUGCUGUAGAAAGCCAGGGUGGGAUUAAGGCAGCAGAAAUCCUCAUGAAGUAUUAAGCUUUAAUAGGAAGGCAGGAGCCUGACAUACCAUUUCAGGCCCCUGAAGCAGAGUAUUGCAUUAUUAUUCCUUUGGAAAUACAUCUGAAAAUGAAUCUGUACUUGGUUAUGCAAAUUAACAGAACAUUGGGGCUCUACCAUGUGGAGCUUCAAAAUGAAGAUUUGGAGAGGGUUUUUUUUUUAAAAAAACACCCACAUAACCACCAUGCAAAACAUCCGCUGCAGCUGCUUGCUUUUGCAGAGCAGUGGUUCAUUUGUGGAUGGUUCUGCAUGCAUCUACUGAAUCAUAAUUGUUAUUCUGCACAGAAAUAUCCAGCUGAUUGAAUCGCAGUAGAAAGAGCAGUAAUGUGGAGAGCAGGCUCCAGGUUUUCCCUAUAGUGACAUUCUGCUAAGGAAGGGGACGCUCCCAGAGUGCAAGCCUGAAAAGCUCAGCUGCUGAAGGUCUUUGUUAAUUGCUAGUCUCUGGAGGCUUUAUUGCCAAGUGAUCUGAAGUGCUCCCAGAGCAACCAGGCCAGAGAACAAAACAUUUGAUUUGCCACCAGUGUAAAACUCUUGCUUCAGUUAAGCCACCUUUGCUACAUAGCUUGCUUUUAUUGUUCUAUGCAUUCACUUCUCAAUAUUUCAUCUAAAUGUAUAGGGCUCCAUGGUAAAAAGUGGAGAAAGUUGUUUACAGAAGCCGAAGCAAUGUUUAUUUUUUUAUUAUUAUCAGGGCAGCUUUAGCGUCUCUCCAGGUAGGAGGAUUUGAUGCUUAAUUAGCAAGGGGAUGGGAUUCUGGUUUCUAGGACAUAUGAACAUGCGAUCUAUACUUGGUUUAAUAAACAAAUGGCAGUCAGUGAAAUUGGCAGCACUAGCAGGAGCCAACACUACUGUUUCCCUUUUAUUUUUGAUGAGGGGGGGAAACAGGAGCUGGUAACAUUUGGGGGAGGUUUUUUUUGUUUUUUUUUUUUUUAAGGUCACACAUCUACAAAAUAAUAUUGUAUUUUUAGCAAGUGUAGUAUUAAGGCUGCUGAAAGAAGCCCACAGGCUAGAUCUUUUACAAGGCUACUGGAUAACCAUGGUCUAAAUAAAAACGAUAUCUUUCCAGGAUUUUUUACUGUUUGAAUAUUUGUGCUGUUAAUAUUUGGAUAGUAUUUAUGGCAAAUCAUGAAAUUUGCGGUGCAAACUGUACAAGUGAUCAUACCAGACAACCCAGUGUCUUGUUGAGAGGUGACUUUCUGUUCAGAUCUAUGCUUAAAUUAGAGGGGAAAUUAUCUGAUCCUGAGCUGAGCAGGGGGUUAGAUGAGAUGACCUGCCAAUUAUUAUUAUUUAUUUAUUGAAUUUAUAAAUUUUGUGAUAAAGUUCUAUGCAUACAGGGGAACAAGGUUCCCCUGAUUUUUCUUUAAAAUAUUGAAUCUGGCAAAUAGAUAUGAAAUAGCUUAAGGCUAUCAAAAGUAACAAAGAGUACCCACCUUGGAAGAAUGGCAGAUGAAGGUGAUGGACUAUAUGGAAUUGGCGGAAAUGACUGGCAGAAUCCGAGACCAGGGAGAAGAGUCGAUGGAAGAAGAUUGGAAAAAGUUUAAAGACUAUUUACAGAAAUAUUGCAAAAUUAAUGAAUGUUAGAAUGAUGUCGGAUAGAAACUAAGUGGUCUUUAGCCGAAAUGUUAUAAGGGAAUAUGAAAAAUGGUUUAUUAAUAGGU